rnacentral:rRNA from 1 species
UACGUAGGGUGCAAGCGUUAAUCGGAAUUACUGGGCGUAAAGCGUGCGCAGGCGGUGAUGUAAGUCAGUUGUGAAAUCCCCGGGCUCAGCCUGGGAACUGCAUCUGUGACUGCAUCGCUGGAGUGCGGCAGAGGGGGAUGGAAUUCCGCGUGUAGCAGUGAAAUGCGUAGAUAUGCGGAGGAACACCGAUGGCGAAGGCAAUCCCCUGGGCCUGCACUGACGCUCGUGCACGAAAGCGUGGGGAGCAAACAGG